rnacentral:rRNA from 1 species
GAUCAUGGCUCGGGACGAACGCUGGCGGCGCGCCUAACACAUGCAAGUCGAACGAGCGAGAGAGAGCUUGCUUUCUCAAGCGAGUGGCGAACGGGUGAGUAACGCGUGAGGAACCUGCCUCAAAGAGGGGGACAACAGUUGGAAACGACUGCUAAUACCGCAUAAGCCCACGACCCGGCAUCGGGUAGAGGGAAAAGGAGCAAUCCGCUUUGAGAUGGCCUCGCGUCCGAUUAGCUAGUUGGUG